rnacentral:ncRNA from 1 species
CGACCUCAGGUCAGGCAAGACAACCCGCUGAGUUUAAGCAUAUCACUAAGCGGAGGAAAAGAAACUAACAAGGAUUUCCCUAGUAGCGGCGAGCGAAACGGAAAGAGCCCAGCUUGGAAAUCGGGGUGUCUCUGCACCCCGAAUUGUAGUCUGGAGAAGGGUCCUCUGCAGCGGACCGGGUUUAAGUCCCUUGGAACGGGACGCCAGAGAGGGUGAGAGCCCCGUCUAGCCCGGACCCUGCUGCAUCACGAGGCUCUUUCGGCGAGUCGGGCUGUUUGGGAAUGCAGCCUUAAGUGGGUGGUAAAUUCCAUCCAAGGCUAAAUACUGGUGAGAGACCGAUAGCGCACAAGUACCGCGAGGGAAAGAUGAAAAGGACUUUGAAAAGAGAGUUAAAAAGUGCUUGAAAUUGCUGGGAGGGAAGCGAAUGGAUGCCUUGUGCGCCCCUUGGUUGUGUGUGGAACGGCGAGAGCUGGUCUGCCAAGCAAUGCAAGGGGCUGUCCAGCAUGGGAGGACGCGGCGGGAUAACGGCUUGUGAGCCUCUGGCUCCCUGCCAAUGCCGCCGCUGCCUCUGAAAAUGGCGGGGUGCUCCGGUGCCCCGCCAGAUGCUGGAACUUGGGCGUUCCAUCCGACCCGUCUUGAAACACGGACCAAGGAGUCUAACAUGUAUGCGAGUCUGUGGGUGUUAAACCCGUACAGGCGAAAGGAAACUAAUUCGUGGGAUCCCCUUCGGGGGUGCACCACGGACCGACCUUGAUCUUUUGAGAAGGGUUUGAGUGUUAGCAUACCUGCUGGGACCCGAAAGAUGGUGAACUAUGCCUGAGCAGGGCGAAGCCAGAGGAAACUCUGGUGGAGGCUCGUAGCGAUACUGACGUGCAAAUCGUUCGUCAGACUUGGGUAUAGGGGCGAAAGACUAAUCGAACCAUCUAGUAGCUGGUACCCUCCGAAGUUUCCCUCAGGAUAGCUGGAGCUCUUGCUGAGUUUUAUCGGGUAAAGCGAAUGAUUAGAGGCAUCGGGGGUGAACACCCUCGACCUAUUCUCAAACUUUAAAUAGGUAAAGCAGCACGGGGUUGCUCUGUUGAGCCCCGGCCGUGAAU